UUUGAUAUUUAAAUUAUAUAUUUUUCUUAUUUUGGUACCUAAACAAUUUUUUUGGUCAUAAGUGGUACAUAAACUACUUUUUUCUCUAAGAUUUGAACGUCACAAGUGAAUGAAUCCGUAAACGGACUUAUGAUCUAUUCUAGUUGGAUCUUAUUUCAUGUACUGUCAGUCUAAUCAAUCACAUCUAUGCCUCUAUGUACAAGCCCAUUUUGGCCCGGGCUGAACUAAACCAAUCCCAAAGCCUAAAAACCCAAUUACUAAACUAGCCCAAACAAAAAAAAUCAGAUUUUUCAAACCCUAGCCCAAUACCAAAAAAAAAACCCUAAAUUAACCUAGCUAGCCGCCGCCCUUGGUCUUCGGCCAAUCACCCUCUGCCACCACCUACUCCACCGCCACUUGCACCUGCAAAAAGGGGAGAAAGAGACAGAAACCAUGUGUAAACAGCAAAGGCAUACGGCAGCAAACAUUUUGUAUUCGGCUAUAAAGC
rnacentral:lncRNA from 1 species